CUUCGGGUUGUAAAGGACUUUUGUCAGGGAAGAAAAGGCUGUUGCUAAUAUCGACAGCUGAUGACGGUACCUGAAGAAUAAGCACCGGCUAACUACGUGCCAGCAGCCGCGGUAAUACGUAGGGUGCGAGCGUUAAUCGGAAUUACUGGGCGUAAAGCGAGCGCAGACGGUUACUUAAGCAGGAUGUGAAAUCCCCGGGCUCAACCUGGGAACUGCGUUCUGAACUGGGUGACUAGAGUGUGUCAGAGGGAGGUAGAAUUCCACGUGUAGCAGUGAAAUGCGUAGAGAUGUGGAGGAAUACCGAUGGCGAAGGCAGCCUCCUGGGAUAACACUGACGUUCAUGCUCGAAAGCGUGGGUAGCAAACAGGAUUAGAUACCCUGGUAGUCCACGCCCUAAACGAUGUCAAUUAGCUGUUGGGCAACUUGAUUGCUUAGUAGCGUAGCUAACGCGUGAAAUUGACCGCCUGGGGAGUACGGUCGCAAGAUUAAAACUCAAAGGAAUUGACGGGGACCCGCACAAGCGGUGGAUGAUGUGGAUUAAUUCGAUGCAACGCGAAGAACCUUACCUGGUCUUGACAUGUACGGAAUCCUCCAGAGAGGGAGGAGUGCCUUCGGGAGCCGUAACACAGGUGCUGCA
rnacentral:rRNA from 1 species